rnacentral:rRNA from 1 species
GAGAAGCUUGCUUCUCUGAUGUUAGCGGCGGACGGGUGAGUAACACGUGGAUAACCUACCUAUAAGACUGGGAUAACUUCGGGAAACCGGAGCUAAUACCGGAUAAUAUUUUGAACCGCAUGGUUCAAAAGUGAAAGACGGUCUUGCUGUCACUUAUAGAUGGAUCCGCGCUGCGUUAGCUAGUUGGUAAGGUAACGGCUUACCAAGGCAACGAUGCAUAGCCGACCUGAGAGGGUGAUCGGCCACACUGGAACUGAGACACGGUCCAGACUCCUACGGGAGGCAGCAGUAGGGAAUCUUCCGCAAUGGGCGAAAGCCUGACGGAGCAACGCCGCGUGAGUGAUGAAGGUCUUCGGAUCGUAAAACUCUGUUAUUAGGGAAGAACAUAUGUGUAAGUAACUGUGCACAUCUUGACGGUACCUAAUCAGAAAGCCACGGCUAUCUACGUGCCAGCAGCCGCGGUAAUACGUAGGUGGCAAGCGUUAUCCGGAAUUAUUGGGCGUAAAGCGCGCGUAGGCGGUUUUUUAAGUCUGAUGUGAAAGCCCACGGCUCAACCGUGGAGGGUCAUUGGAAACUGGAAAACUUGAGUGCAGAAGAGGAAAGUGGAAUUCCAUGUGUAGCGGUGAAAUGCGCAGAGAUAUGGAGGAACACCAGUGGCGAAGGCGACUUUCUGGUCUGUAACUGACGCUGAUGUGCGAA